rnacentral:lncRNA from 1 species
CAGAAGAUGAGAUCAGCAAAUCUCUGAACCUGUGGAACAGAGUCACCUAGGCUUUAUGAAUGAAAGUCAGCAGCCUUUCACAGCUAGACAAAUAAAGCCAGCUUGGGACGACCAGACAAUGCCUCCUCUAUGUUUAUGCCUCUAAAUCACACUGAAUGGCUCACACAUCCAGCAUGGCUGGGAGAGAGACAGCCAGAAGAGGGUGGAGAUGCCACAGCACCAUCUCUUUCCUGAGGUUUCGACCUCAACCCAGGAAUGCCCCUGCUGUUUUCAUUGUGCAGUAGACUUAAAAUGAUAGUAAUAUCUUUAUUCAUCACUGACAAGGAAGGAAAGUGAAGAUGAAUCCUGAAUAUACUUUCCAAGAAACUAAAUUUCAGUCUAGGCAAGGUAUAAACUUUAAUGACCUAAUAUAUAUGGAAAAUUUUGAAAGCCCAUUUAGUCAUUUUGUUUUGUUUUUACUUUUUUAAAAGAUUUUUUUUUUUUUUUGAUGUGGACCAUUUUUAAAGUCUUCAUUGAAUUCGU